AUGGACAAUAUCAUUAAGCGUUGGAAAAUAAACAAACUGGAAAAGUUUAAGACAUUUUCAAACCCUGUGCUUCCCAGAGGGCGUCUGGGGCCCCUGGCAGGACAAGGAUCUGCUGGCCUGGGUUUAUACUGUGUUGAUGACUUGACCCCUCCAGCUGUGAGAAGCCAAACUGACAGCAGGGUUGUUUUCACUCAGCUUCCCAGGAUCGCAAACUUGAUUUGGGAGGCAUUUGCGCUGAUUUGCGCCGAGGUCUCCAGCGACUCGCGCCGGGCUUCCUUCCCCGGGAGAGAGCAGGACGGGAGUGGGCUGGUGGCUCUGGUGGCUGACAGCUGUCGUAAACCAACGUGUCCUGCAGUCAUCCCACAGGGCAGGGGGCGGGCAGGGGAGCCGUGGGAGGGGCGCUGUGCAGGAAGGCUUCUUUCCAUCUUGCUGAAAUCCUCACAGGAUAGUCAUGGGCAUAACAUGCACCCUGCAAUAGUUGUAUUCAAACUGGAGCAUCGAGGUGCACUCAAGGUCACCCCCACAUCACGGUCACGUCCACUUCGGAAAAUGGUGUGAUACAUCAUCAAUUUUCCAGCUCACCUUUUGCAAGCCAGUUCAGGCACCCUAGCCUGAAAUCCUCUCUGGCCACCUGGACCAGGUAAGUGGGGUCCAGGCCUUCCUCUGGGGCCCCCAUUGCACAUUGCAUUAUUAUUCACAGCUGGGUCUUCUUGUGCCCCUUGCUAGACUGUGCGCUCCUGGAAGGCAAGAUUCCAAUCUUACUGCUUUUUUGUAUCCCCUUUCCAGCGCAAUGUCUCACGUAUGACAUACCUGAGUAGGUGAUGGCUGAGGGAAUGAAGGAAAGAAACCGUAACUAUUGUCAUUUGAUUUCCAAAACAACCUUGGGAACCAAGCAGGGCAGGAAUCUGAGCCCUGAUUUCCUGGGGAAAAAAAGCAGCAGCAGCAGAGGCUCCAGGAGGGUAGGGCCUUGCUUAAGGUCACCUGAUUCCUGGAGCUGGCGCCAGGGCUGCGGUGCAGUCUGGUAGCUCCAAGAGAGGUUUCUCCGCCCACGCUUGCUCUGCUGCCUGGAGAGGCACUCCCCAGCAGCCUCCUGCACAGGUGGUUCCCUGGUGCUUCCCAUCCAGGUCCCUGCCCCGCCCCCAGCACCGGCUUUGAAAGAGUUGGCCUAGCAAACCAACUGUAAUUAGGCGGUAAUAAUGACUCCAUUUUCUCGUUUUUAUUAAUAAAAGGCAUAUGCGCCCUGCCA
rnacentral:lncRNA from 1 species